AUUUGUUGCGCCGAUGAGGGGUGGCCGAGAAGGUCAGCUGGUGGUUGUUUACUGGAGGGAAGGAGCGACGAGAAAUCAAGGAGAGAGAGAGAGAGAGAGAGAUCGCUUCUUCGAUCCAAGUCCACGCAACCGGGGAUUGCUUGUGGCAGAGGAGGACUCCUCCCCGGAUCUUGAACAGUUCCCUCCACCGUCGCAAAACCCUAGAUGGUCUUCUCUUUGUUCUUGAUUGGAAAGAUAGUGGACAAUUUGGCUGUUUGUUUCGACGCCGUUGCUUCUCUUUUUCUGGAUUGUGAGUUUAGGCUGAAAAAAUUGGUGUGGAUAUAUGUGGAUUGAGGAAUUAGGAGAUGAGGACUGCGUCGGAGGAUGAUGAGAGGGGGAAAGGUUGGCUUGGAGGAUUCGUGGCCCAAGGACUGGGUUUGUGGAUGCGAAGAGGGGGGCUGUGGGAGUCGAGGCUCGGAUUCUCUUCGACACGACGCUGAUGUAUAAUGUUGUACGCAAAAGAAAGGAACUUGCGGACUCGGGAGCGAAUGUCCAACAGAAGGCUCAUGGGAUAGAACAUUUGCUGAUGCCAACAAGAGAUUACCUUUUUGCUUCAUCACUUGGAGAUAUAUGCCAAGCUGUGGACUUCAUCCAUUGCCGUCCAAGACUUCUACCAUCUCAGGGUGCCAAAAAAUGGAAGGUUCAUCUAUUCUGAAAACCUUGUUGUGAAGGCACAAAUGCUUCUUUUCUCUAGAAACCUUGGAGCAUUUGACCUCGAUGGGUAUGACGGGAGCAUUGAAGCAGGCCGUGUGGGCAAUGCUGUGUGGGCAGAGCUGAGGUUAAUGUACAGACUGCAAAUCGCUAGGCAAGCAGCAGCCCUUGCUAGGCUCUCGCAUUUCUGGAUCAAAUGGCAUGCACACAGGAGCAGCUCAGAAAUGAUCAUCGCUGUUUACUGAAUCAGCAAAUAAGCCGACAAUUCCAGUAACACUUUUCGUUUCCUUGGUUUUGUUUCCGUCCACUCAACGGUGAUGCAAAUGCUGUAUAUGGAUAAAUGCUACUGUGUUGUGUUGAGUGACUUCAUAACUACAGUCAUUAUCUAUUCCAUUUAUGUUAUUCCCCUGUUUAUCGUAAUCAUGAAUUCACAUUU